rnacentral:rRNA from 1 species
AGGACGAACGCUGGCGGCGUGCUUAACACAUGCAAGUCGAACGGUGAAGGGGACUUCGGUCCCUGGAUCAGUGGCGAACGGGUGAGUAACACGUGGGCAACCUGCCCCUAGCUCCGGAAUAACCCCGGGAAACCGAGGCUAAUACCGGAUACGACCCUGCGCGGCAUCGCGCGGGGUGGAAAGUUUUUCGGCUAGGGAUGGGCUCGCGGCCUAUCAGCUUGUUGGUGGGGUAAUGGCCUACCAAGGCGACAACGGGUAGCCGGCCUGAGAGGGUGACCGGCCACACUGGGACUGAGACACGGCCCAGACUCCUACGGGAGGCAGCAGUGGGGAAUAUGCGCAAUGGGCGAAAGCCUGACGCAGCGACGCCGCGUGAGGGAUGGACGGCCUUCGGGUGUAACCUCUUCGGUAGGAUGAAGCCUUCGGUGACACGUACUGCAGAAGAAGCACCGCUAACUACGUCGCCAGCAGCCGC